AGCAGCCGCGGUAAUUCCAGCUCCAAUAGCGUAUAUUAAAGUUGUUGCAGUUAAAAAGCUCGUAGUUGAAUUUCGGGGUCAGUAGGUUGGUCGUGCCACCGGUACGCACUGGUCUCACUGAUUCCUCCUUCCUGAAGAACCGUAAUGCCAUUAAUUUGGUGUUGCGGGGAAACAGGACUGUUACUUUGAAAAAUUAGAGUGUUUAAAGCAGGCUAACGCUUGAAUACAUUAGCAUGGAAUAAUGAAAUAGGACGAUCGAUCCUAUUUUGUUGGUUUCUAGGAUUGACGUAAUGAUUAAUAGGGAUAGUUGGGGGCAUUAGUAUUCAAUUGUCAGAGGUGAAAUUCUUGGGUUUAUUGAAGACUAACUACUGCGAAAGCAUUUGCCAAGGAUGUUUUCAUUAAUCAAGAACGAAAGUUAGGGGAUCGAAGACGAUCAGAUACCGUCGUAGUCUUAACCAUAAACUAUGCCGACUAGGGAUCGGAUGAUGUUAAUUUUAUAAUGACUCAUUCGGCGCCUUAC
rnacentral:rRNA from 1 species